rnacentral:rRNA from 14 species
CGAGUCGGCCUGCGCGGAAGAUGUAACGGGGCUCAAACUGGUCACCGAAGCUGCGGCUGCAUACUUUGUAUGCGGGGUAGGGGAGCGUUCUGUAAGCCUGCGAAGGUGUGUUGAGAAGCAUGCUGGAGGUAUCAGAAGUGCGAAUGCUGACAUGAGUAACGAUAAUGGGAGUGAAAAACUCCCACGCCGGAAGACCAAGGUUUCCUGUCCCAUGCUAAUCAGGGCAGGGUAAGUCGGCCCCUAAGGCGAGGCAGAAAUGCGUAGUCGAUGGGAAACGGGUUAAUAUUCCCGUACCUUGGAUAGCUGCGAUGGAGAGACGGAGAAGGCUAGGUGAGCCGGGCGACGGUUGUCCCGGUUUAAGCGAGUAGGGAGUGGACUUAGGCAAAUCCGGGUCCACAAUCUCGAGACGCGACGACGACUGCUCUUAGAGCGGGAAGUCAUUGAUGCCAUGCUUCCAGGAAAAUCUUCUAAGCUUCAGGCUAUUCGAGACCGUACCCCAAACCGACACAGGUGGUCAGGUAGAGAAUACCAAGGCGCUUGAGAGAACUCGGGUAAAGGAACUAGGCAAAAUGGUGCCGUAACUUCGGGAGAAGGCACGCUGGUGGUAAGUGAAAUCCCUGCGGGUGGAGCUGAAGCCAGUCGAAGAUACCAGGCCCCUGCGACUGUUUAUUAAAAACACAGCACUGUGCAAACACGAAAGUGGACGUAUAGGGUGUGACGCCUGCCCGGUGCCGGAAGGUUAAUUGAUGGGGUUAGCGCUUGCGCGAAGCUCUUGAUCGAAGCCCCGGUAAACGGCGGCCGUAACAAUAACGGUCCUAAGGUAGCGAAAUUCCUUGUCGGGUAAGUUCCGACCUGCACGAAUGGCGUAACGACUUCCCCGCUGUCUCCAGCGCAGACUCAGCGAAAUUGAAUUCUCCGUGAAGAUGCGGAGUACCCGCGGUCAGACGGAAAGACCCCGUGCACCUUUACUACAGCUUUGCAGUGGCAUCAGAAGAUGAAUGUGUAGGAUAGGCGGGAGGCUUUGAAGCACCGGCGCCAGUUGGUGUGGAGCCAUCCUUGAAAUACCGCCCUUUGAUCUUUUGAUGUCUAACCGCGGACCGUCAUCCGGUUCCGGGACCCUGCAUGGCGGGUAGUUUGACUGGGGCGGUCGCCUCCCAAAGAGUAACGGAGGCGCACGAUGGUAGGCUCAAGCUGGUCGGACAUCAGCUGUUGAGUGCAAUGGCAUAAGCCUGCCUGACUGCGAGGCCGACGGGCCGAGCAGAGACGAAAGUCGGUCAUAGUGAUCCGGUGGUCCCGCGUGGAAGGGCCAUCGCUCAACGGAUAAAAGGUACGCCGGGGAUAACAGGCUGAUGAUGCCCAAGAGUCCAUAUCGACGGCAUUGUUUGGCACCUCGAUGUCGGCUCAUCGCAUCCUGGGGCUGGAGCAGGUCCCAAGGGUUUGGCUGUUCGCCAAUUAAAGCGGUACGUGAGCUGGGUUUAGAACGUCGUGAGACAGUUCGGUCCCUAUCUGCCGUGGGUGUAGGAAUAUUGAGAGGAGCUGUCCUUAGUACGAGAGGACCGGGAUGGACAUACCUCUGGUGGACCUGUUGUUGCGCCAGCAGCAUAGCAGGGUAGCUAAGUAUGGAAGGGAUAACCGCUGAAAGCAUCUAAGCGGGAAGCCUCCCUCAAAACCAGGUAUUCCUUGAGAGCCGUGGAAGACCACCACGUUGAUAGGCUGGAAGUGGAAGUGUGGCGACACAUGGAGCGGACCAGUACUAAU